CAACCCCACCUGGCUACAACCUCCCUUCAGGUAAUUGUAGAGAGCAAUGAGGUCAGCCCUGAGCCUCCUCUUCUGCAGGCUGCACACCCCCAGCUCCCUCAGCCUCUCCUCACAGGGCUGUGCUCCAGGCCCCUCACCAGCUUCGUCGCUCUUCUCUGGACACAUUCCAGUAUCUCAACAUCUCUCUUGACUUGAGGAGCCCAGAACUGGACACAGCACUCAAGGUGUGACCUGACCAGUGUUGAGUACGGUGGAAGAAUAACCUCCCUUGUCCUUGUGGCCACACUGUUCCUGAUCCACGCCACGGUGCCACUGGCUCUCUUAGCCACCUGGGCACACUCCUGGCUCAUGUUCACCUGCUGCCAACCAGCACCCCCAGGUCCCUCUCUGCCUGGCUGCUCUCAGUCACUUUGUUCCCAGCCUGUAGUGCUCCUUGGGGUUGGUUAUGGCCAAAGUGUAGAACCUUGCACUUAGCCUUUAUAACUCUCAUCCCAUUGGCCUCUGCCCAUCCAUCCAGCCUGUCAAGGUCCCUCUGCAGGGCUCUUUUUUAUUAUUUUUAAAGUGUUUUCUUUGUUUAAGCUUAUCUCAAAUAUAUAGAUCAGUCUGCUUGUAAAUCUUAAGUUAUUUUCUUUUCCCUGUGCUCAUUUUUUUGUUUCUAAACCUCCCAAAAUAAAACGAAGGAGCUACAAAUGCCACAACACCUGAGGACACCCACUGUAUACACAGGUUUGCUGCCAUGCACAUUUCACUGGAGGUUCUAUUGCAAGAGAAACAAACCCUCUGCAAAGAUCAAAGCAGAUGCUUGGUUUUAAACACUGAUAUAUUUUUAAUGCUUUUUUUGUCCAAAUAAAUAUGAUGUAGUGCAAUAUUUUGUUUGUAACAGGUACAUUUAGUUUCCUAUUGAAGACCUGUUGAACACCUGUAUCUGUCCUUAGCUGAUUGAAAGCCAGAGUCCUGUUAGAGCAUUACUCAUUGGAAGACUGGACAGGGCUGGGUGAUAGACUGGACUGGAUGAUCUUGGAGGUCUCUUCCAGCCUGGUUGAUUCUGUGAUUCUAUAUAUCACGAUUAAAGCUCAUGAUCUGCAGGUUAAUAUUACUGUAAUUUGAUUCCAGUUUUCCUUUAAAAUGGUCUAGGAGCUACAGCAUUAACAAAUGACAUUGGUCUAUUGAGUUGAGAGAAGCACUCACCUUCACCCAGUGCUUUUUCUGGCAGCCCAGUAACUACAGGCAAAACCUCAGAGAAAUCUCUGCAAGGAGAUGUUGGAACUGACCCAGAAGUUGCCUACUAUUACAUAACUGUUAGCCAGUACAUCAGGUACCAUCUUUCUGAAUUGCCAUCCCAUACCACCUCUGAAUUAAUGUUUGCAGUGGCCUGUUCUGGUCAGCUUUGGCAGUUGUAACAAUUUGAGUGAUACCAAAUGAUUGUAUUUUAUUAAUCUUAUUUUUUCACUCUCUAUAGGUGUUUAUCUAUAAGAAAAGAAGGGUCAGAGAAAGUAAUUUUGACUUGUUUCAUGUAUGUGAAAAUUCAUGUAAAAUCAUAUAACUUAUGUAAUCCUUAACAAGGUCUCUGACUUGGCAAGGUGUCCAUAGGGGAUGCUGUUCUGAGGGUAUACCUAAUUAGCUCUGCUGCAGCAGCAGCAAAUGUUUAUGGAUAUGAAUUUAUGGAUCCUGUUGCUGCCACUGUAUAAGCAGGUUGUGUAUUACUCACUGAAGUUUUGGUCAAGCACAGAAGGCUGCUUGCAUAAUUAAAGUUGCAGCGUCUGCACAGUACUCGCA